GACGAACGCUGGCGGCGCGCUUAACACAUGCAAGUCGAACGGGGCCCUUCGGGGUUCAGUGGCGAACGGGUGCGUAACACGUGAGUGACCUGCCCUUGUGCGGGGGAUAACCCGGGGAAACCCGGGCUAAUACCGCAUGCACUCCACUGGCUUCAUGGCCGGGGAGGAAAGAUGCUGUAAGGCAUCGCGCAGGGAGGGGGCUCGCGGCGUAUCAGGUAGUUGGUGAGGUAACGGCUCACCAAGCCUAUGACGCGUAGGGGGUCGUGAGAGGAUGGCCCCCCACCA
rnacentral:rRNA from 1 species